AAACUGCGAUAAGUAGUGUGAAUUGCAUUUAGUGAAUCAUCGAAUCUUUGAACGCACCCUGCACUCACCGGUAUUCCGGUGAGUACGCCUGUUUCAGUAUCAUUGAAAACACACAAUCAAAACAUUUUCUUUGGUUUGAUUGGCUUUGGGUCUAUCAAAAAGUUUGGCUUGUUUCUUACAAGCCAAGCGGCCUGAAAUAUAUUGUCUGGCUAAUUGCAUCGUUGAUGAUCGCUAUUAGACUUUGGCUUUUUUAAAUGAACUGGAGGUUGAUUAACCAGUUUUAGCUUUAGUCAAAUGGUCAUUGUAAAAAAAAUCUCGAUCUUGGCUAGGUGUUUAUAGCCGAAAAUUUUUUUUUGGCUAUAACCGAAACCAAUAUAAUCACAUUUAGUUAUCGAUCUGAAAUCAGGUGGGACUACCCGCUGAACUUAAGC
rnacentral:misc_RNA from 1 species